ACUGCAGAGUGAGACCCUGUU
rnacentral:miRNA from 1 species